rnacentral:rRNA from 1 species
GGAAACUUACCUCAAAACUAGUUCUUCCUAUAGAGCCGUAGUAGACCACUACGUUGAUAGGCUGGAUGUGUAAGCACCGUAAGGUGUGUAGCUGACCAGUACUAAUAGCUCAAUUGGCUUGAUUUA